CACAACGCCGACGAACACACAAACUAGAGGUCUUCUGGGCUGUGCCUUCAAGAAGGAGAAACGAAGUCGAAAAGUCGUCGCCGCCCGCCUGGUACCAACCAAGCAAAGUUUCCUCCGAAGACCUCCUGUCGUCCGCCGACCCACCAACCCAGCAACCCCAACCUUCAGAGCCCCAACGUCGGACGAGCACCAGCGAAAGUCCCCAAGAAGGCCGAGGCGAGGGUUCCCGCAUUGUGGUGAGAGGUCCAAGGACAGCACCCUCAAUAGGGCAGGGGUGGCGCCCGCGGGCGUCACCGCUGUCCGCCCGCAAGCGGGCAUGGCUUUCGCCAGAGGCCCUCCCACCACACGCCCCAACGCACGGAGCUAGCCGCCCCUGCAGAAGGCGCCGCAGACAGCUGCAGAUCCGGCGACGGCCAACGCCCCGACCAAGGCAAGUACAGGCAAGCCACGCCGCCACCACAGCGCGCCAGCCGCACGCGUGGGUGCCGACGCCGCAGACCAGCUACGACCACGCGAGCGCGCAGGCACCGCCGCAGCAGCCGCAAGGCCACCCGCCCAAGCCAGCAACAGGGAGGAGCGGCGGAAGGCGACCAGCCCCCCAGAUCCGGGCAGACAGCCCGCAGAUCCAACCAACCCAACGCAGAUCAAGACGCCGACCACCUCAUCGUAGACGCAGACGAGUGGAGGUCCCGCCACCGCCAAUCCGGUCGACUGCGCAGGCCCACCGACGCACCACGCCGAACACCACCCCGGCACAUGCCCGGGACCAGCCUGUCGACGCCUCCGAAGGCUGGCACGCGGAGGCCGCGAACCCCACGCGCACUAGAUUCCAGACCUCCACGCGCGGCGCCGCUCCCUGCCCUGGGGGCGCCAGACAGCACCUUCUCCGCGCCUGCGACCCACGGCCGGCCGCAUGCCCCCCUGCUGCGCGAACACCCAUCCAGGACCCGCAACGCCCGGAUGUGCCAUACGAACGUCGCGCUCACUGCCGCCAGGAUGCCGCCGAGGCUGAGCCGCGCCGGCGAAGGGUCGCCGCCCCACACACGCCGCUGCCACCUCCUGGAACCCGACUAGAUCCGGGCAGACGCGACCAAACCAGAGAAAAAUCGCCUCGCCGCCACCUUCCUUGGGGCCGCGCGGACAUCCGGCGGCGCCCUCUGGUGACGGCGAGGUGGGAUGGAGUGGAGGGAGGGGGCGGCGGCGCUAGGGUUUCGGCCGCCCGUGUAGUAAGUUGACAUCCUUAGCAAGCAAGUUGAGGAAGAAAUCAAUAAUUGUAGUAGUACAGUGGAUCCAAUCACUUCUCCCUCGAAUGUCACUCUCCCAUGUAAUUUGGUUAGUACAACACAACUAAAGAAGAAGGAGGUGGAGACAAAAAGCUCAAAGCGGAAAAAAGUUAGGUUGAAAAGAUGCAUAAGGGCUAAAAAGGGACAUAAGAAAAGGGGAAAAUGUUCAGUGAAGGAACAAAAAGCUACAACGGUGCCAUUCGGUGAGAGUGUUCCAGCAGUCCAAAAUAUGUCCCCUAGUACAACAACUGUGCAAUUCGAAGAUGGUGCUGUAGCAGUCCCUAGUACUUUUUGCUAGAAGGAAGGGGUGCCUGAACAUGUAGAGAGCUUCGUGGCUGUGCUCUCUUGAGUAAGGUCUGACGGCUCUGCAGCUAGUUUGGGCGUCAGGGGCAUCCACCGUAUUCGUGAGGAAGUCGAGAUCUCACAACGGACCGUCGCUCGAGCACUCCAUGGAGGCAGUCUGCAGAUGAACGAAGAACAGUCAUGCCUGCUUUCGGGGGGAAAAAAAAAG
rnacentral:misc_RNA from 1 species